rnacentral:rRNA from 1 species
AGUGAACGCUGGCGGCGUGCUUAAGACAUGCAAGUCGAACGGCAGUCUUCGGACCGUAGUGGCGCACGGGUGAGUAACGCGUAACUGACCUACCCCAAAGUCGCGGAUAACGAUUCGAAAGAAUCGCUAAUACGUGAUGUGCUGUCAGAUUGUGUUCUGCCAGUAAAGAUUGAUUGCUUUGGGAUGGGGUUGCGUUCCAUCAGCUAGUUGGUGGGGUAAAGGCCCACCAAGGCGACGACGGAUAGCCGGCCUGAGAGGGUGGCCGGCCACAGGGGCACUGAGACACGGGUCCCACUCCUACGGGAGGCAGCAGUUAGGAAUCUUCCACAAUGGGCGAAAGCCUGAUGGAGCGACGCCGCGUGAGGGAUGAAGGUCUUCGGAUCGUAAACCUCUGAAUCAGGGACGAAAGACACUUCGGUGGGAUGACGGUACCUGAGUAAUAGCACCGGCUAACUCCGUGCCAGCCGCCGCAGUAACAC